GCAGGCUGGCAGCUCAGAGCCUCCAACCUGAGCAGAUUCGGCAUGACUCCAGGUUUCCACCGGAUGAGGGGCCUCAAGGGAAAGGAGGAAAUGACGCACGAGACAGAAACACUGUCUUACCAGAGGACCCAUGUGGUUGGGGGUGGCCACCCCAACAGGCCUUCAGUCCGUCAACAAAUGUCUACCGAGAGCCUCCCGUGUGCCAGCCCUGAGCCUCUACCUGCCUCCGCCGAUGCUUAUGGGAUAACUAACCAGCUAACCAACCAACCAACCAACCAACCAACAGUUCCUCCGUGUUCCCGCGGAUCGUGCAGUGGUGGACCAUCUGGAUGCUGGGGGCACAGAGCCGGCAGAGUCAUCAGCCCUGGGAGUCAACUCCGGUGAGAUGCAGCGUGCCGCUGGCUGCGAGCCCCCCUGCCACCUCCCCCACCUGACCAAGGCUCCUUGAGGCCUGCACCAAGCCCCGGGCUCAAUGGGCCUGGAAUCCCCGCGUCCUUCCUGAACUCAGUUUCUUCCCAGAAGGCUCAGCCUCGUUCUCAUCUGACAAGUCUCAUGAGCUUGCUUUCCACUGUCUGGGGCAAGCUUUAGUUCACUCUGAGAAGGAGGGUCGCACGAUGUAACCUAGCACGAAGACUUGCUUUGGGUUCGAAUGUGAGUUCUCCUCCUUACUGGCUGUGUGACCUUAUGCAAGUCACUUAACUUCUCUGUGCCACGAUUUCCCCGACUGUAAUGCGGUUGCUGUGCAAAUUAAAUGAGUUAAUGCAGGGAAAACAAAUCUCGCCUGGUCAGCAUCACGGCAAGCGGCAGCUAAUGUUACAGGGAGCUUGCUGUUGCUAUCAUAAUUAUCAAUGUUGUUUUGUUAUAGCGGGCCCACUGCUGUGCUUAGCCUCCAGUAAAGGGAUGUUUCCAAGCCCCUUUCCACGAACCCACCCACAUUUGUGAGUCCAGCUUGGAGAUAUUUUCCCAGACUACUGGUUGCCAGGUGAGACAGCACGAACCUUUCAUCACAAACAAUAAAGGGCUGGGGCCCUAGGCAGGGCGGAAGCUACCCUACUUGCCUCUGGGCUACUGAUCAAAUGGGGAAGGGGCAAUGACCCCCACCCCUGUCCAAGUCUCAGUUAGUGGACUGAGCUAGACUCCAGCUAGACUCUGGCUAGAACCUGACAGAUGAGACGACAGAUCAGACUCUCUAGCUUCACGCCGAACGGGCCACACUCCUCCUCGGGGGUGGGGGAGUAGGACCAAGUCCCGUCUGGUUGGCGGGAGGGGGUGGGGUCACCCUAGAAGGCCAGGGUAGGAUCCAGAUGAGCUCUUGAGUCUGGAAUUUGGCAAGCAGAGUUGUCCAAAACACAAUUUUCCAUUCCCAGGCAAGGGGAGGCUGAGGGAGAAAGGAAGUAAGAAACAUGUGGAUGCUUAGGGCUGGAGGCAGCUGGGCAGGUAAUGCCCUGGGUAGGAGAAGGGCCUGAGUUAACAGGCCCCCUCCCUGCCCCCAGCCCCACAUCUGGGUCUCGUUAGUCUGGCAACACACACAGGUGGAAAAUGUUCUGGGGGAUGUUUUUCCAGAGCAGGAGGAGAAGCCAGACCCGCACCGCCUUCUCCCACAGUCCUUCCACAUCAGCACUUGGACAGACGAAUGAAGGGGCAGGCAUUGCUACACAUGCACACACACACACACACACGCGCACACACACACAGCCCACUACCAACACACAACGGACGAACGAAGGGGCAGGCAUUGCUACACAUGCACACACACACACACACACACACACGGCCCACUACCAACACACAACGCUCGAGCCCUGUCUCUGGCACACAGACCACACGAGAGGGUCAGGCUGGACGGCUUUCUGGCCAGCAAAAUCUGAUACGGACAGCAGAAUCACAAUUUGCGGUUUGAAAAAAAAGGUAGUUUCAAAAAACUUUUGAAAAAAUGGUAGACAUUGAACAAGCAAAAACAAGAAUUGAAUUUGUGGAAAUAAAUCGACGCAAACCAACAAGGGCUAAUAUGGCACCUGGUAAACCCGGGGAUUGAUUGAAACUUGAUGAAGAUUUUCUGAUACCUUCGGAGCUACAACACCGACCCAGGAAAGCUGGCCGCUGGUGGAAAUAUCUGGUCAGAAGAGAAUUUCCACAAUGGCAGAAGAUGUGAGUGAUCAAAUUGGGCACUGCCAAAAAAAUGGAAGAAUGAAAUCUUCCUUGAAAAACGUACAUGGAAAAUCCUCCACCUCUCUGGGAAAAAAUUCUAUCAAAUAAAAAUGAGAAUAAGAGGGGCGCCUGGGUGG